AGAGUAUAGUUCAGUGGUAGAGUGUGUGCUUAGCAUGCACAAGGUCCUGGGUUCAAUCCCCAGUGCCUCUG
rnacentral:tRNA from 1 species